UGUGUGGAUGAUCGUGUGGUAGCCGA
rnacentral:miRNA from 1 species